UACCAGCACCCGAGUGGUCGGGACGUUUAUUGGGCCUAAAGCAUCCGUAGCCGGUUCUACAAGUCUUCCGUUAAAUCCAACUGCUUAACAGGUGGGCUGCGGAAGAUACUAUAGAGCUAGGAGGCGGGAGAGGCAAGCGGUACUCGAUGGGUAGGGUAAAUCCGUUGAUCCAUUGAAGACCACCAGUGGCGAAGGCGGCUUGCCAGAACGCGCUCGACGGUGAGGGAUGAAGCUGGGGAGCAACCGG
rnacentral:rRNA from 1 species